rnacentral:rRNA from 1 species
UGACCGCUGGCGGCGUGCCUAAUACAUGCACGUCGAGCGAACAGAUGAGGAGCUUGCUCCUCUGACGUUAGCGGCGGACGGGUGAGUAACACGUGGAUAACCUACCUAUAAGACUGGGAUAACUUCGGGAAACCGGAGCUAAUACCGGAUAAUAUAUUGAACCGCAUGGUUCAAUAGUGAAAGACGGUUUUGCUGUCACUUAUAGAUGGAUCCGCGCCGCAUUAGCUAGUUGGUAAGGUAACGGCUUACCAAGGCAACGAUGCGUAGCCGACCUGAGAGGGUGAUCGGCCACACUGGAACUGAGACACGGUCCAGACUCCUACGGGAGGCAGCAGUAGGGAAUCUUCCGCAAAGGGCGAAAGCCUGACGGAGCAACGCCGCGUGAGUGAUGAAGGUCUUCGGAUCGUAAAACUCUGUUAUUAGGGAAGAACAAAUGUGUAAGUAACUAUGCACGUCUUGACGGUACCUAAUCAGAAAGCCACGGCUAACUACGUG